UACGUAGGGGGCAAGCGUUGUCCGGAGUUACUGGGCGUAAAGCGCACGCAGGCGGUCGCGUAAGAGUGCGGGGACAGUGGGCGGCUUAACUGCCCAAGGGUCGCACAGACUGCGUGACUGGAGGGCCAGAGAGGGACCUGGAAUUCCGGGUGGAGCGGUGAAAUGCGUAGAGAUCCGGAGGAACACCAAUGGCGAAGGCAGGGUCCUGGCUGGCACCUGACGCUGAUGUGCGAAAGCGUGGGGAGCGAACAGG
rnacentral:rRNA from 1 species